rnacentral:rRNA from 1 species
GACCUGCGGAAGGAUCAUUAUCGUGGGGCUCCGGCCCCGUCGAGAUAGAACCCUUGCCUUUUCGAGUACCGUCCGUUUCCUCGGCAGGCCCGCCUGCCAACGGGGACCCCAAACAAACUCUUUUAUGUACCUGUACCCGUCUGAACAACAAACAAAAGUUAAAACUUUCAACAACGGAUCUCUUGGUUCUGGCAUCGAUGAAGAACGCAGCGAAAUGCGAUAAGUAGUGUGAAUUGCAGAAUUCAGUGAAUCAUCGAAUCUUUGAACGCACAUUGCGCCCUUUGGUAUUCCUUAGGGCAUGCCUGUUCGAGCGUCAUUGAAAACCUCAAGCUCGGCUUGGUGUUGGGCGCCUGUCCCCGCCCCCCGCGGGGACUCGCCUUAAAAUCAUUGGCGGCCGGUACAUUGGCUUCGAGCGCAGCAGAAACGCGAACUCGGGCCCGGUGGAUCGGCUCCCAGAAGCAACCCCUUCUCAGUGUGACCUCGGAUCAGGUAGGGAUACCCGCUGAACUUAAGCAUAUCAUA